GAUGAACGCUGGCGGCGUGCCUAAUACAUGCAAGUAGAACGCUGAAGGAAGGAGCUUGCUCUUUCCGGAUGAGUUGCGAACGGGUGAGUAACGCGUAGGUAACCUGCCUGGUAGCGGGGGAUAACUAUUGGAAACGAUAGCUAAUACCGCAUAACAGUAGAUGUUGCAUGAUAUCUACUUAAAAGGUGCAAUUGCACCACUACCAGAUGGACCUGCGUUGUAUUAGCUAGUUGGUGAGGUAACGGCUCACCAAGGCGACGAUACAUAGCCGACCUGAGAGGGUGAUCGGCCACACUGGGACUGAGACACGGCCCAGACUUCUACGGGAGGCAGCAGUAGGGAAUCUUCGGGAAUGGACGGAAGGCUGACCGAGCAACGCCGCGUGAGUGAAGAAGGUUUUCGGAUCGUAAAGCUCUGUUGUAAGAGAAGAAAGAGUGUGAGAGUGGAAAGUUCACACUGUGACGGUAUCUUACCAGAAAGGGACGGCUAACUACGUG
rnacentral:rRNA from 1 species